GUAUAGAUUUAAAGGGCAAUUGAAGCCCCAUUAAUAACAUUCUGCACACAUACAAAUAGGGGUAUAUAAAAACAUAGACCGGAAAGUGUAAGGAAAGCUGGCUUGCGCACAACAGUCCUCAAACCGAGUUUCCUCGAGAAAUUCCGUGUCUACAAAGGGUGCACAGGUGAUAAAAGACUACCGUUAGGCGUGCACAUGCCCCGGAAGGCCAGCUACAACCCAACCAAGCUUAUUCAAUAAUGAUCCUUCCGCAGGUUCACCUACGGAAA
rnacentral:misc_RNA from 1 species